rnacentral:tRNA from 1 species
GUAAAAUUAGUUUAAUUAAAAUGCUGUAUUGUGGAUUCAGAGAAGGAUACUCCAUCUAUUUUACU